GUCUAUGGCCAUGCUACCCUGAACAAGCCCGAUCCCAUCUGAUCUCGGAGCUAAGCAGGGUUGGGUCUAGUAAGUACUUGGAUGGGAGACCACCUAAAAAGACCAGGUGCUGUAGGCA
rnacentral:rRNA from 1 species